rnacentral:rRNA from 1 species
AUACGGAGGGUGCAAGCGUUGUUCGGAAUCACUGGGCGUAAAGGGCGUGUAGGCGGUCUGUUAAGUCUGAUGUGAAAUCCCUCCGCUCAACGGAGGAACUGCGUCGGAAACUGGCAGACUAGAGUACCGGAGAGGAAGGUGGAAUUCCCGGUGUAGCGGUGAAAUGCGUAGAUAUCAGGAGGAACACCAGUGGCGAAGGCGGCUAACUGGGGCAAUACUGACGCUGAGGCACGAAAGCGUGGGGAGCAAACAGGAUUAGAAACCCUAGUAGUCC